CUUGCUCCACCGGAAAAAGAGGAGUGGCGAACGGGUGAGUAACACGUGGGUAACCUGCCCAUCAGAAGGGGAUAACACUUGGAAACAGGUGCUAAUACCGUAUAACAAUCGAAACCGCAUGGUUUUGAUUUGAAAGGCGCUUUCGGGUGUCGCUGAUGGAUGGACCCGCGGUGCAUUAGCUAGUUGGUGAGGUAACGGCUCACCAAGGCCACGAUGCAUAG
rnacentral:rRNA from 1 species